AUUUGCUAUGAAUUUAAAUAUGGUAAUAGAUUGGGGCCUCUGCAUAAUAAAUGUCAUUCUUUUUUUUUGUACAAAAGGCAGAGCUAUAUUCAUUUUUAAAAAUUGAGUUACAUGGCACUCUUUAAUUCUCCCAUGAAUAUAGUAGUUAGACUGAAUGGAACUGCCAUAUUUAAGAAUAGAGAUACUCAUUUAUUUUUCUAUAGAAGGAAUAAGGCUAAAGAUUAGGUGAAUAUGCAAGUGGAUAGGAUCUUUAUGAAAAGUGACAUUGUGCCUGCUCUAAAGGAAUUUGUAGUCUAUAGAAGUUGGGGUAGAUACAAUAAGUAAACAAUUAAACGUGUUAAAGGUAGAAUGUGAUAGGGACAAAGAGAGAUUCUGAGCUCUAAGGAAAUUCUGUGGAGUUCAGCAAUCUAGAAUAGAGUAAAACAUUUUAGUGAUGUCAACUACUUCAGUUUCCACUGUUGAGGAAUUUGUGAUCAUUUAGAUACCUAUUGGACUAAAUUUUGUCUUUGAACUAUUGAUUGAUUUCUUAAGUAAAUUAAUAAUAUAAAUUGAGGGAGGGAUGAAGAAAAUAAAUGAUAUUGUUAAACAAUCUAAGUUCUACUUUCAAGAACCUCCAAAUACUUUGAGAAUUUAGUGAUUAAGGAACAAACUAUGUUUCAUUUAAAUCAGCUUUUUCCACAACCUCAAAACAAAUGGCAAAAGUUAUAUAUACUGAUCAGAAGACAUUGUCAUCAGAUUAAAUAUGAGGCACUGGAGUGGAUACAAAGUCUAAGUAAGAUGCAGUUCCUACCUUCAUGGAGCAUAGUGUCUGGUUCUCCUGUUUUAUCGGACUGA
rnacentral:lncRNA from 1 species